GUUUGAAGGGACCUGCAAAGGGCAGGGACACCUUCCACCAGACCAGGUUGCUCAGCUCUCCAUCCAGCCUGGCCUUGAAGACUUCCAAGGAUAGGCUCUGAUACAGGAAUUGGCAUAUCACUACAGAGAGCAGAAGAUGGUUAUAGAAACUGCAACCAAUUUACUUCCCAAAAGGUUAGAUUAGAUCAUGUCAAUGAUCUGACUGAGGAAUAUCUGUGGGCUGCACUGGUCAAUCUCACUAGUGUUGGAAUUUAGCAGGGGAAUUUUAAAGGGUGAAGAGGGAAGGAAAUGCUUCUGCAGCCAUUAGCUUGGAUUUAUUGCUUUGGGAGUUUUGUCUUCUGUUUAAAAGAAAAACUAACAUUGUUGGAGGCCCGGGGUUUUGAAAGCUGUCUCAAUGAAAAAAAGUAAAGCUACUUUACAAAUCAUGGUUGAAAACAGGUUAGAAAAGAAGAAAACAUUAUACUGUGAAAAUCAACAUAGCAUUUUAUGUUGUUUUUC